rnacentral:rRNA from 1 species
UCAGUUCGGAUUGGAGUCUGCAACUCGACUCCAUGAAGCUGGAUUCGCUAGUAAUCGCGCAUCAGCCAUGGCGCGGUGAAUACGUUCCCGGGCCUUGUACACACCGCCCGUCAAGCCAUGGGAGUCGGGAGUGCCUGAAGUUCGUGACCGUUUAGGAGCGACCUAGGGCAAGAACUGAUGGACUGGGGCUAAGUCGUAACAAGGUAAC